rnacentral:rRNA from 1 species
CCUACGGGAGGCAGCAGUGGGGAAUAUUGGACAAUGGGCGCAAGCCUGAUCCAGCCAUGCCGCGUGAGUGAUGAAGGCCUUAGGGUUGUAAAGCUCUUUUGCCAGGGAAGAUAAUGACUGUACCUGGAGAAUAAGCCCCGGCUAACUUCGUGCCAGCAGCCGCGGUAAUACGAAGGGGGCUAGCGUUGUUCGGAAUCACUGGGCGUAAAGCGCACGUAGGCGGACUUUUAAGUCAGGGGUGAAAGCCUGAGGCUCAACCUCAGAACUGCCCUUGAUACUGGGAGUCUUGAGUAUGGUAGAGGUUGGUGGAACAGCAAGUGUAGAGGUGAAAUUCGUAGAUAUUUGCUAGAACACCAGUGGCGAAGGCGGCCAACUGGACCAUAACUGACGCUGAGGUGCGAAAGCGUGGGGAGCAAACAGGAUUAGAUACCCUGGUAGUCCACGCCGUAAACGAUGGAUGCUAGCCGUUAGCCAGCUUGCUGGGUAGUGGCGCAGGUAACCCUUUAAGCAUCCCGCCUGGGGAGUACGGUCGCAAGNUUAAAACUCAAAUGAAUUGACGG